ensembl:lncRNA
GUUGUUUUCAGAAAACAUAGGUAAAGUAUUGGAAGUACAGCACUAUAUAAUGUGAUUUAUCCCAUCUUUCCUUUUCAACAUUUUGAUCUUUUGAACCAGAAAUGCUUGUAAACAAUUGCCUCAAUUAUUUUAAGAUGAAAUUUUAUUUAUUUGAUUUUUUUAAUACUGUUUUGACGUUCACUGCUUCCAGUAUCUUCCAAGAAUCUACUUUUUUGUGCCAAAUGAUGGAAUGCAUACAACAGGAAAACAGCUCACAAUUCUUCAGACUGUGAACUCUCCAACUCUCCACUCUCAUUUGGCACUGAGAAAGUACAAGACAAGAGAUGACCUGAAAUGUUAAGCUGUAAGAGGAAGAAUAAGAAGAAAUUGUGUUUUUAAUAAAAAAUUCAAGAAACAAGAUAAAAUACUUAGAACACUGCAAUACAUAGAAAACUGCAGGAAGUCAAACUGAGGAAAGAAGGGCCUUUUGUCUGCUUCAGAUAAUGAUUACCUGCUUGACUCUGGGAAAUGAUGUCUGCAUUUUUUCGCCAUUUGGACAGUUAGGUGUCUGUGCUACAUGUAGAACAAUUGGGUCCAGGUGUUUUCAUCCCUGGGUAGCUCCCACUAUUUAAUAUUAAUAACAACAUUAUUGAUUUCACAGAAAAUGGUAGUCAAGUUUUAAUGUCAUGGAGGAAUAAUCUAAGAAAUUCAGAUGACUAUCCUACUAAAGUCCAAUGUAUGUCUUAAUUUUUUAAAAGAUAAGAUGACAAUGAUUAAUUAAAAUAUCAAUGCUUUUUAUUGCAUAAUGUCUGUAUGGUCAUUCCUAUGAGAUAAGUUACUGGCGUUUUAAGGUUUCUUUUUCUUUUUCUUUUUCUUUUUCUUUUUCUUUUUCUUUUUCUUUUUCUUUUUCUUUUUCUUUUUCUUUUUCUUUUUCUUUUUCUUUUUCUUUUUUUUGUAAAUCCCAUAAUAGCAAUUUUAUUAUUGUUAAAAUUUCAUCCAAUGCUUUUCUAUUUAAUUUGAUUUUGGAGUAGCACCAUGUAUUGAUGGACUAAUACCAUCAGCUACAGUGCAUUUUCUAUCUGUUUAUCAAACAUUCAAAAUGGGAAUCACCUCUGAUUUGCUUUUUGUUACUUGCUACAUAUUACCGUAGGUAGUUUCACAUGAGUAAUUCCUGUUUAAUAUGUCUAUUAUAAAAACUGAAUAUCGGUGCAUGUCUUUUUGAGAAGUACAUCUAGCACAGCACUAUGCAGUUGUUGAGUCAGGUUUGCAUAUGCUUGCAUCAACAGCUACAGAAAGAGGAUAUGCAAUACAAAAACAGCAUGAGGAAGCUUCAAGUGGAAUGAAAACUACAUUCAGGUCUCUGAUCAUUUCAGCAGUGACUUAAGUUUUGCAUUAGGAUUUCUAAUACAUGCUCUGCAGCUGAUCUUUUAGAGAAUUUUGGCAAAAAAAAAAAAAAAGUGAGAAGUUUAGACAGGGUUGGGUUGUACUUUCUUUUGGAACUCUUAAAGAAUUGUAUGAUUCACUACCCUCACAUAAUAAUACUGAGCCAGAGUCACAGUUAUAAUCUUCAGUUUGUUUAUGUAUCCUUUUCUGAAAUACAUGAUUGGCAUAACUAGGAAAUAGGCCCAUGAGAUCAAAUUAUUCUUCAUUUCAGAGUUUCAGACUGUGAGCAAAAAUUUAUUCAGUGAAUGUAAUAUAUUUUCCUAGUUAACAUACCAUUUCCAGCCAACCGAAAGAGAUGGAGAUUGGUGUCACUCAGUAAAUAGCAGUUCAUCUCUUCAUAGUGCUUAUUAAGAUAUGACAUAUGACUGGAAAUGAUCUGGGCAAACUAGCUCAAUCUCCUGCUAUUCUCUAAUUCUUUUCACAAACUUUUUUAGAUCCUUCUUACAAACUAUCAGAUAUUUUUCUCUCUAAGCCCUAUGGGAGUUUGUUCCACACUUCAACUCUUCUAAUAGUUAGAAAUCUUCUAAUUUCCAGUCUAAAUUUAUUCAUAGCCUUUUACUAACAUUGUCCUUUAGCUUAAAUAGCUUUUCUCCUCCUGGGCAUUUUCCUGUCCAUCUCACUCCUGAGGUAUUUAUAGACAGCUGUCAUGUCUAUUCCCAUUAUUUGUUUGAGUAUUUGCAUUUUUUUUAUUAUGCUGUAAAUCACAUAGUGAUACUGCUAUUCCCUUCCUACAUGUAGGAGGAGGGCUUCUUGAACCAGUUAAAAAUUUUUAUAUUGAUGCUUGGGGAAUGAUCCUGUAGGCAAAUAUCUAUUUGCAUGAAGUGCUUUGAGACUGAAUUCUGUUAUUCAUUUUAUAGAUUUUGCUCUUAUCAGCAGCUCCUUCAUACCUAGAAUGAGGUACCUGCUCUGUUGCAACAGCACCUGGAAUUCAAAAUCACCUUGUAGCAACCAGCCCACCUUGGCAUCUUUCUUUGCUGACAAAGAAGUAACGUGGAGGGGAGAGAAGAGAAUAGAUAAAGGAUAAUAUUUCCUGGGUGUUAAAUACUUUUCAUCGGGAUGAUCAACUUCAGUGCUUUUUAGUGACUUUUAAUCCUUUUAACUCUUUUCUGAGCAUCUGUUUCCCUACUAUGCAGUUCAAUGCUGUCUGUAAAAAGUGAUUUGAUUGAUGUGUAAUGAAAUCUUACCUAAAUACUUUAGUAAAGUAUUGAUUGAACAAUUAUACUUCAUUUAUACUGAAGUGUUAUUUCUUCCUUCGUUCAGUUCUCUGUUCCUUGAUCUGAGAUUCUAUAGAUCCUUGUUAUGACUCUAUUUAUAAGAACUGACACCUUUAGGCUGUAAAUCAAUUUUCCAUUUUCAUUGUAUUGGAGAAAUUGCUUUUCAGUAUGAUUCUGCUCCUUCAAAGGACGGGUUCAGUGCAUCACUUAUACUUGAUUGAUCCACUACGUUUACUUUUGAAGAACUUGGCAAGGUUCACAGGUGGAGUACUCUGACAUAUUCCUAUUGCUAAAAAAGCUAUUUCAAUUUAAUAUUAAUGUUGAACUUUCUCACCUAGAACUGAAUGGACAGCUAUUAGGUUGGUUUGUGUGAUAGUGGAAUCAUUUCCCUGUUCAAUACCAUGUGGUUCUUGUACAUCCUAGUUUAUACUGUUUUUUCAAUUGUUAUUACUUUUUAUUCCCACUCUCUAAAACAAUCGGGACCAGCCACCAUCCUGCAGCCAGUUGAAGGAACAUUUCUAUUGCAGAUUAAAUAAAGAAUAUGAAUAAGCACAUUUGUUAAAGGAAAAGUCACAGUCACCUGGCUAUUGAAACAAAUGAAGGAUGUAUUUUUAAAUUGUACAUUCAUCUGGCUGGUUUAGGUAGUGCGUAUCUGUCCCGAGUCUCAACUUCAUCAAAGUUCUAAUGGAGCACUAGAAUUUGUUUAUGCUGUUCUAUGUACUUAACUUGACAACUUUGUUUUCAUCCUGUUAACUUUAAUUACUUAUUUUGAAGUCAACAGAUAUGUUAAAAAAAAAUCUAUCAAAACCAAAUAAGCUAAGAAGCAAACAAACAAACAAACAAAAAAACCCACUUUAUCUGGUUUUGAACAUUUUAUUUACUGAAUAUUUUCUUGAGUAUAAAAUUUAAAAAUGCAUCUUUCAUUUGUUUCAUUUUUACAACAUAAGAAUAAAAAUGGAAAAGUUUUACAACUAUGUGUACAUUUUUUCUUCGUUAAUAGUUUGUGACAUUCUUUUUAAUUACAAAGCUUAGCUGGCCUAGUGUGUGUGUUAUUUAUCAUCUUUGAAACAGUAAUACUUUAAUUAGGACACUAUGAGAUUUCUUCAUUUAUACUGAGAAUAUUUCUUCACGAGUUGAAUUUAUGAGUUUGGCAUCCUGUACUACACUACAUUAAUGAUGGCAUGAAAGGUGUGAAUAAACAUUGAGAUGCUUGGAUCUAAGAAUUCAGCUUCAGGUAAUUAAUUUUGAAAUCCUAUAAACUCUAUGCAGAUUUUAAAACACAUUAUGCGUACAACAUCUGCAAUAAAAAGCACAGUCAGUAUUCUCAGGUAGUCUUAAGUGAAUAGUGGUGGAUAUAUCAGCUCAAGUUAGAUAAAUGAAGACUUAAAUAGCUAUAUGAUUAUGAAAUUGACAUUAUUCAAAUAUUUUAUAAUAGAAAUUGACAUUAUUCAAAUAUUUUAUAAUACUUCAAGACUUGUAAAUUUCAAAAACGAUUAAAUAUGAUUGAAUUAGCCAUAUUUUAAAUUGAAUUUAUAUUUAUUUAUAUUUAUAUUUAUUUCUAAUAAUUAUUGGACUUUCCUUUUCUGAUUGAUGUACCUGUUGAAGCCUUUAUUAUCCUUCUUUGCAC